AUCCUGGCUCAGAACGAACGCUGGCGGCAUGCCUAACACAUGCAAGUCGAACGAAGCCUUCGGACUUAGUGGCGCACGGGUGCGUAACGCGUGGGAAUCUGCCCUUAGGUACGGAAUAACUCAGGGAAACUUGUGCUAAUACCGUAUGAUGUCUUCGGACCAAAGAUUUAUCGCCUAGGGAUGAGCCCGCGUUGGAUUAGCUAGUUGGUGGGGUAAAGGCCUACCAAGGCGACGAUCCAUAGCUGGUCUGAGAGGAUGAUCAGCCACACUGGGACUGAGACACGGCCCAGACUCCUACGGGAGGCAGCAGUGGGGAAUAUUGGACAAUGGGCGAAAGCCUGAUCCAGCAAUGCCGCGUGAGUGAUGAAGGCCUUAGGGUUGUAAAGCUCUUUUACCCGGGAAGAUAAUGACUGUACCGGGAGAAUAAGCCCCGGCUAACUCCGUGCCAGCAGCCGCGGUAAUACGGAGGGGGCUAGCGUUGUUCGGAAUUACUGGGCGUAAAGCGCACGUAGGCGGCUUUGUAAGUUAGAGGUGAAAGCCCGGGGCUCAACCCCGGAAUUGCCUUUAAGACUGCAUCGCUUGAACGUCGGAGAGGUGAGUGGAAUUCCGAGUGUAGAGGUGAAAUUCGUAGAUAUUCGGAAGAACACCAGUGGCGAAG
rnacentral:rRNA from 1 species